GACCCCCCAGGAUUGUGCCUGGAGAGUGGCGCAUACUCUGUGAGCCUGGGGAGUGGGAGGGGAAACAAGUCAGUCUAUUCCCACUCGCUCUGUGGCUGAUGAUUGGAAGAUACUCCUCAGUG
rnacentral:snoRNA from 1 species